rnacentral:lncRNA from 1 species
ACUUGGGACUGGACAAGCUAGUGUCAACCAGAAUCCGAGAGAAAUGCUAACUAUAGCCUUUCACAAUCACAGCGAACGAGAGAGUGGCAGUCCAACGCUAGGUGUCCCGAUAUCUCAAAAACAGAGUGAAUAGAAAAUCCGAUAGGGUUCUUUCUGAAUAACUAAUAAGACAAGACAUGAACUUUGGUGUCCCGAAGGCCAAUAUAUUCUCCAAGUUCCCAAAAUUCCAAUAGCUAGACAUAUCAGGUUGAAAGCUAUCACAUAACAAGGGUGCAAAGAUAAAGGGAGGUUUAGAAAAGAUAUAUAUUUCUGUUUACUUAUGGAAUUGAAUGAACAAGUUAACACAUUCCCUAAGAAACAUCCACUUUCCUAUGAAAUUAGAUUCUAAAUACACCACCACCAACAACCCAGUAUAAUUCCCCAUGUGGGUUUUGAGAGCGAGAAGCGCAAAAAAAUGACAGGGGCUCGCCUCGCUUCAAAAGCGAAGCACACGCUUCAUUGAAAUGAAGCGCAAUUCUAAAAACAUAAUGUAAACCUUGCAAAGACACAAUAUGAAUAAUCAAAAAGUUCAAUUUAAAAACUUAAAAGUAGGUACCACUACCACCAAUUCCUCCAUAAACCAUAGGACAAGCAAAAUCACAUAAAAAUUAAUAAAUAAACGCUAAAAUAUUAAUCAAAUAAACUGAAAAUAAUAUAUAUAUAUAUAUACACACACACACUUUAUAAACUGAACUACACAUAAAAAUUAAUAAUUAAAGGCUAACAUACU